UGAUAGAGAGCGACAGAGAGACAGAAAAAGAAAGGAGAAGGGAGAAGGAGAGAGAGAGCGUGUGGUGGUGGUUUGUGAGAGAGACCGAGAGAGAGACAGAGAAAGAGAGGAGAAGGGAGAGAGGGGGAGAGAUCGAGAUUAAGACAAAAGGCCUUUAUUUUCAGACAGAAAUACUCCUCAGUUUCACCAGCUGGUCCCGGACGAUGCCACAGGUGAAGAAGCCAGAUGUGGAGGUCCUGGGCUGGCGUGGUUACACGUGGUCUACGGUUGUGAGGCCGGUUGGAGGUGGAUGGAUUAUCUUGGCAAAGGAGAACUGCUCACUAACAGGGAAUGUGGGCACAACAUUUGAGGGAAAUAAGGUUUCUGUGCAUCAGGAACAUUUCUGGUAUCUUUUAUUUCAGCUCAUGAAACAUGGGUCCAAAACUGUACAUGUUGUGUUUAUAUUUUUGUUUAGUAUAUAGAGGGGGAAUGGAGAGAUAGCUUUUACUCAAAUAUCCAAACCCAGCCUACCAAACAGUGAACUGAUAGCUGCCACAGACUGGAAAGCGACAUUGUAUCUGUUUGGCUUGGCUCUUAGGUGUCAAGCGUAGUUCAGCCCUGCUAAGGAACAGAGAGUGACAAUCACAAAGCUAUCCAGCUAGCACAUUCGGUUCCUUGGAAGUUGUGGGAAAGUAUGUUUUUGGUUUGACAUUGGUUGUGAGAAGAAAGCCAUAAGUGUCCUGAUCGAUAAAACUGAAUGUUCUGACAACAUAAGUGAAAAAACACACAAAACAAAGACUAUCCGUGCAUGUUUUUUCACUCACAAAUUACUUCCAGCAGCCAAAUAGUGCUCUGUGCACCCGCCAUUUGAAACAUCUGUUAAAACACCCAAUUAGUUUAAUGACAUUCGACGAUUGAUGACAUUCAGCGAUUGCAUUGAUGCGUCUGCUGCAGCCCGGGCGCUUCAGUCUCGGCCAGUCAUCUCCUCCAUGGAAAAAUGUCAGUGUUCUCAUCAAACCACACAGCAUUUUGGAGUGUAUAUACCACCUGUUGUCAAGUCCAUUCCCUCAUUUUUCAUGUGGCUGACAUUCGGUCACGAUAAAUA